AGGGAAACAACCCAGACCGUCAGCUAAGGUCCCAAAGUUAUGGUUAAGUGGGAAACGAUGUGGGAAGGCUUAGACAGCUAGGAGGUUGGCUUAGAAGCAGCCACCCUUUAAAGAAAGCGUAAUAGCUCACUAGUCGAGUCGGCCUGCGCGGAAGAUGUAACGGGGCUCAAACCAUACACCGAAGCUACGGGUAUCACGUAAGUGAUGCGGUAGAGGAGCGUUCUGUAAGCCUGUGAAGGUGAGUUGAGAAGCUUGCUGGAGGUAUCAGAAGUGCGAAUGCUGACAUGAGUAACGAUAAUGGGUGUGAAAAACACCCACGCCGAAAGACCAAGGUUUCCUGCGCAACGUUAAUCGACGCAGGGUUAGUCGGUCCCUAAGGCGAGGCUGAAAAGCGUAGUCGAUGGAAAACAGGUUAAUAUUCCUGUACUUCUGGUUAUUGCGAUGGAG
rnacentral:rRNA from 1 species